GAUGAACACUGGCGGCGUGCCUAAUACAUGCAAGUCGAACGCAUUGAGAGAAGUGCUUGCACUUUUCAAUUUGAGUGGCGAACGGGUGAGUAACACGUGGGCAACCUACCUGAUAGCGGGGGAUAACGAGUGGAAACAUUCGCUAAUACCGCAUAACAAUAGAGAAGGCAUCUUCUUUAUUUAAAAGGCGCUUUCAAGCGUCACUAUCAGAUGGGCCCGCGGUGCAUUAGUUAGUUGGUGGGGUGAAGGCCUACCAAGACGAUGAUGCAUAGCCGAGUUGAGAGACUGAUCGGCCACAUUGGGACUGAGACACGGACCAAACUCCUACGGGAGGCUGCAGUAGGGAAUCUUCCACAAUGGACGAAAGUCUGAUGGAGCAACGCCGCGUGUGUGAUGAAGGCUUUCGGGUCGUAAAGCACUGUUGUAUGGGAAGAAAUGCUAGGCUAGGAAAUGAGCUUAGUUUGACGGUACCAUACCAGAAAGGGACGGCUAAAUACGUGCCAGCCGCCGCAGUAA
rnacentral:rRNA from 1 species